rnacentral:lncRNA from 1 species
ACUUCACCAUGACCCCAAAAUGUCCCCACUGUGUCCCCACGACCUCAAAAUGUCCCCAAUACAUCACCACGACCCUAAAAUGUCCCCAUACAUCACUGGGACCCCCAAAUGUCCCCACUGGAUCACCAUGACCCCAAAAUGUCCCCACUGCAUCACCGUGACCCCAAAAUGUCCCCACUGCGUCCCCACAACCCCAAAAUGUCCCCACAAAAUCACCAUGACCCCAAAAUGUCCCCACUGCAUCACCGUGACCCCAAAAUGUCCCCACUGUGUCCCCAAGACCCCAAAAUGUCCGCAAUACGUCACUGUGACCCCAAAAUGUCCCCACUGUGUCCCCAUGACCCCAAAAUGUCCCCAGUGUGUCCCCAUG